CCCUCUCACUUCGCCGAGCUGCUCCGGGAGCCCCGUCGCGCGGAGGGUAGCUCCCAGAGCCCCAGCUGGUGUGGCCAGGCCCCAGGAAUAGGAUGGGGCUCCCCCUACGAGGGCCGGUGGCAGCCAGAACUGAUACAGCCCCUUUGGACUGGGGGCAGGACGCCAGCUGAGGAGGGCAGGAGUGUCUGGAGCCAUGGCUGGUGCCUCGGUGAAAGUGGCAGUGAGGGUUCGGCCCUUUAACGUCCGGGAGACCAGCCAGAAUGCCAAGUGUGUGGUCAGCAUGCAGGGCAACACCACCUCCAUCAUCAAUCCUAAACAGAGCAAGGAUGCCCCCAAAAGCUUCAGCUUUGACCACUCCCACUGGUCACACACUUCGGUUAGAGGACCCCCAGUUUGCAUCUCAGCAACAAGUGUGUCGGGACAUUGGAGAAGAGAUGCUGCUCCAUGAUUUUGAAGGCCACACGUGAGCAUCUUUGCCUACGGGCAGACUGGGGCUGGGAAAUCCUAGACCAUGAUGGGCCGACAGGAGCCAGGGCAGCAGGGCAUCGUGCCCAGCUCUGUGAGGACCUCUUCUCUCGCGUUGGUGAGAACCAGAGUGCUCAGCUAUCCUGCUCUGUGGAGCUGAGCUAUAUGGAGAUGUAUUGUGAGCGGGUACGACACCUCUUGAACCCCAAGAGUCGGGGUUCUCUGCGGGUCCAGGAGCACCCCAUCCUGAGCCCCGAGUGCUGGACCUGUCCAAAUUGGCUGUGACCUCCUACGCAGACAUUGCUGACUCACGGACUGUGGAAACAAAGCACGGAGUGUGGCUGCCACCAACAUGAAUGAGACCAGCAGCCGUUCCCAUGCUGUCUUCACCAUUGUCUUCACACAGCGCUGCCAUGACCAGCUUGGUGGGCUGGACCGGAGAAGGUCAGUAAGGUCAGUUUGGUGGACCUUGCUGAGAGUGAGCGGGCUGACUCCUCAGGGGACGGGCCUGCGCUUGAGGGAGGCGCCGGUAUCAAUAAAUCCCUGACUACUGUAGGGAAGGUGAUCUCGGCCACUGCGGGUAUGCGGUCAAACAAGCGGAAGUCGGAUUUUAUUCCCGACAGGGACUCUGUGCGCACCUGGCUGCUCACGGAAAAUGUGGGUGGGAACUCACACACAGCAAUGAUUGCAGCCCUGAGCCCUGCUGACAUCAAUCACGACGAGACUCUCAGCACCCUUGGGUGUGCCGAACGCACCAAGCAUAUCCGCUGCAAAGCCAUCAUCAGCGAGGACCCCAGCGCACGGCUGAUUAGAGAGCUACAGGAGGAGGUGGCCCGGCUGCGGGAGCUGCUGAUGGCUCGGGGACUGUCAGCCUCUGCUCCGGAAGGCCUGAAGGCAGAAGGGAGUGUGGAGGUGCCCUGCCAGCUGCAUCGUCUCCCCCCGCUCCGGUGUCACUGUCAUCGCCCACCACACAUAACGGGGAGGUGGGGCCGUCAUUCUCCCCAAACACGGAGCCCCAGAUUGGGCCUGAAGAAGACAUGGAGAGGCUGCAGGAGACAGAGAAGAUUAUAGCUGAGCUGAAUGAGACGUGGGAGGAGAAGCGCAAGACAGAAGCGCUGAGGAUGGAGAGAGAAGCGUUGCUGGCUGAGAUGGGGAUGGCCGUCCGGGAUGAUGGAGGAACUGUGGGCGUCUUCUCUCCAAAGAAGCCUCCCCACCUGGUGAACCUGAAAGAAGACCCUCUGAUGUCUGAGUGCCCGCUCUACCGCAUCAAAGCUGGCGUUACCAGGGUCGGCCAGGUAGGUAUGGGCAUCACGCUGACUCGACAGUUUAUUCGGGAGCGACACGUCUGUUCCGUAGCAUACCCCGGCCAGGUGGAGACGUGGUGGUCACUCUGCAGCCGUGCGAAGGAGCUGAGCCGUAUGUGAAUGGGAAGCUUGUGACGGAGCCGCUGGUGCUGAAGUCAGGGAAUAGAACUGUGAUGGGGAAGAACCACGUUUUCCGUCACCCGGAGCAGGCGAGGCUGGGACGGGAACCAGGGGUCCCUGCGCCCCCAGGCCCGCGCUCUGAGCCGGUGGACUGGAACUUCGCCCAGAAGGAACUGCUGGAGCAGCAAGGCAUCGACAUCCAGCUAGAGAUGGAGAAGAGGCUGCAGGAUCUGCAGAAUCAGUACCGGAAAGAAGAGGAAGACGCUGAUCUUCUGCUGGAGCAGCAGCAGCAGCUGUAUACGGACUCGGACAGCGGGGGUGACUCUGACCAGUGCCCCUGUGAAGACAGCUGGCGGCUCAUCUCCCCCUUGCGGGAGCAGCUGCCACCCACUACGGCCCAGACCACUAUCAAACGCUGUGGUCUGCCCAGCAGUGGCAAGCGCAGGGCCCUCGCAGGGUCUAUGAGAUCCCCCAGCGACGGAGGCUUCGGGGCAGAGACCCUCGCCGGGCCACCAUGGCUAACCCCAAGACGCAGGCAGAGAAGGAGAUCUGCUGCGAGGUGGCCUUGGCUGACCUCCGCCACGGGCAGGCUGGGAUGGAGGCCCUGGCAGCCCUCACGAUGCAGGAGCUUUGUCGCACCAUGGCAAGCCGGAGGGCCCCGGGGACGCCUGGAGGGCUGUGGCCCGGGAUGUCUGGGACACCGUGGGCGAGGAGGAAGGAGGCGGAGCUGGUAGUGGCGGUGGUAGCGAGGAGGGAGCUCGAGGGGCAGAGGCGAAGGGCCUCUGGGCCCACAGAGACAAGCUGACCGGGAUUCUGCAGGAGGCGACGCUGCGGAGCAGCACCAAGGCCCUGCGGGACCGCAUGCUCCGCAUGGAGAGGGUCAGCCCCCGGCCCAGGAUCAGGAGGAUGAGAAGGAAGAGAUGGUGAGGUCCCCUGGGCCCCGCCUGAAGGAUCAGAGGCAGCAGAGGAGGCAGCGCCUAGUGACCGCAUGCCACCAGCCCAGCCCCCCUCACCACCACUUUCAAGCUGGGGGCGGGGCUCUGGGGGCCGGGGCAUGGGGUUGCGCAGGCCUCAGCCCACUUUGUGCCCCCCUCACGGCUGCAAGCUGCGCUUCCCCUUCAGGAGCAACCCGCAGCACCGGGAGUUCUGGCCAGGGAUGGGGAGCGAGGAGGCUCCAGCUGCACCCCAACCCCCUGAGGAGGUCACUCCCCCUCCAGACACCCCUGCCCGCAGGCCUCCGAGUCCCAGAAGGUCCCACCAUCACCGCGGGAACUCCCUGGUCGGAGGGGCAGAUCCCGAGGAGCGGGUUCUGCACAGGCUGAACCCCAGCGCUUCCAGCCCCAAAUCACAAGCCUUCUCCCCAGCCGCCCCAACCCUACCCAGCCCAGCGGCCUCCAGGGCCCCGCCCUCCCCAUACACUCCCCCCACCAUGAAUGAAACGGCAGCGCUCCGCCCCUGA